UGAGGAAUAUUGGUCAAUGGGCGGGAGCCUGAACCAGCCAAGCCGCGUGAGGGAGGAAGGCCCUAUGGGUCGUAAACCUCUUUUGUCAGGGAACAAAAGCGAGUAUGUAUACUAGUCUGAGUGUACCUGAAGAAAAAGCAUCGGCUAACUCCGUGCCAGCAGCCGCGGUAAUACGGAGGAUGCGAGCGUUAUCCGGAUUUAUUGGGUUUAAAGGGUGCGUAGGCGGCGGUGCAAGUCAGCGGUAAAAGCCCGGGACUCAACCCCGGCGAGCCGUUGAAACUGCAGUGCUAGAGAAGGCGAGAGGUACGCGGAAUGCGCAGUGUAGCGGUGAAAUGCUUAGAUAUUGCGCAGAACUCCGAUUGCGAAGGCAGCGUACUGGCGCCUGACUGACGCUGAGGCACGAAAGCGUGGGGAUCGAACAGGAUUAGAUACCC
rnacentral:rRNA from 1 species